rnacentral:rRNA from 1 species
GAUUAAGUGUCGUAAGGGCAUUUGGUGGAUGCCUUGGCAUGCACAGGCGAUGAAGGACGUGAUACGCUGCGAAAAGCCGUGGGGAGCUGCGAAUAAGCUUUGAUCCAUGGAUCUCCGAAUGGGGCAACCCACCUUAAAUGCUUAGAAAAUCUAAGUUGUGCUUCGGUACGGCUUAGGUUUCUAAGCAUUGUGAUAAGGUAUCUGCACCUGAAUAAAAUAGGGUGUAAGAAGCGAACGCAGGGAACUGAAACAUCUAAGUACCUGCAGGAAAGGACAUCAACCGAGACUCCGCAAGUAGUGGCGAGCGAACGCGGACCAGGCCAGUGGCAAUUGUGUUUAAAGCGGAACAAUCUGGAAAGUUUGGCCGUAGCGGGUGACAGCCCCGUACGCGUAGAUAGCAUGAUUGUCCUAGAGUAGGGCGGGACACGAGAAAUCCUGUCUGAACAUGGGGAGACCACUCUCCAAGCCUAAGUACUCGUGCAUGACCGAUAGCGAACAAGUACCGUGAGGGAAAGGUGAAAAGCACCCCGACAAGGGGAGUGAAAUAGAACCUGAAACCGGAUGCCUACAAACAGUCGGAGCCCGCAAGGGUGACGGCGUACCUUUUGUAUAAUGGGUCAACGACUUAGUGUAACAAGCAAGCUUAAGCCGGUAGGUGUAGGCGAAGCGAAAGCGAGUCUGAAGAGGGCGAUUUAGUUUGUUGCAUUAGACCCGAAACCGAGUGAUCUAGCCAUGAGCAGGUUGAAGGUUGGGUAACACCAACUGGAGGACCGAACCCGCAUCUGUUGCAAUAGAUUGGGAUGACUUGUGG